rnacentral:rRNA from 1 species
CAAUAAGCGGAGGAAAAGAAACCAACAGGGAUUGCCCUAGUAACGGCGAGUGAAGCGGCAACAGCUCAAAUUUGAAAUCUGGCUCCUUUGGUGCCCGAGUUGUAAUUUGCAGAGGGUGCUUUGGUGUUGGCUGUGGUCCAAGUUCCCUGGAACAGGACGUCACAGAGGGUGAGAACCCCGUACGUGGCCGCCAGUCUUCGCCGUGUAAAGCCCCUUCGACGAGUCGAGUUGUUUGGGAAUGCAGCUCUAAAUGGGAGGUAAAUUCCUUCUAAAGCUAAAUAUUGGCCAGAGACCGAUAGCGCACAAGUAGAGUGAUCGAAAGAUGAAAAGCACUUUGGAAAGAGAGUGAAAUAGCACGUGAAAUUGUUGAAAGGGAAGCGCUUGGAGCCAGACGUGCCCGUAGUUGCUCAGCCGGGGUUCUCCCCGGUGCACUCUUCUGCGGGCAGGCCAGCAUCAGUUUGGGCGGUUGGACAAAGGCCUGCUAAACGUACCUCCCCCCGGGGAGGACUUAUAGGGUAGGCGGCAUACGACCAGCCCGGACUGAGGACCGCGCAUCUGCUAGGAUGCUGGCGUAAUGGCUGUAAGCGGCCCGUCUUGAAACACGGACCAAGGAGUCUAACAUCUAUGCGAGUGUUUGGGUGUCAAGCCCGAGCGCGCAAUGAAAGUGAACGCAGGUGGGAGCCUCUCGGGGCGCACCAUCGACCGAUCCUGAUGUCUUCGGAAGGAUUUGAGUAAGAGCAUAGCUGUUGGGACCCGAAAGAUGGUGAACUAUGCCUGAAUAGGGUGAAGCCAGAGGAAACUCUGGUGGAGGCUCGCAGCGGUUCUGACGUGCAAAUCGAUCGUCAAAUUUGGGCAUAGGGGCGAAAGACUAAUC